UGUAAUACCCCGAAUUCUUAUUUUCGAAACUUUUGAAUUUUUAUUAAAUCAAAAAUCAGAAAUUUUAAUCAUGUGGACUGCAAGUAUAAAAUAGCCUCAAUUCAAGCCCAAGUUUACGAAGUUGGGCUCAAGCCCAAAACACAUUAUCGAAAUUUAUCAAAAAAAAAAAAAAAAUGUAUAUAUAUAUAUAUAUAUAUAUAUGAUUAUUAAUAUUAACAUUAAGUAAAUUGAAGGAAUGUUAUAGAACCUAACUAAAAUAAUCAAAAUAAAUAAAACCGGACCUAAAAAUCAAUUUAAUUUGUCGAGAACCACACGAAGGAUCCGAAAAUCGAUUGGAAAACUCGAAAAACCAAACGAAAUGAGACCAAAUCACUGAAUCAGACCGAACCGAUUCGAAUCGAACCGGAUCGGCCCACUUUUCUUUUCUUUUUCUUUCUUUUUCUUUUCUUUUCUUUUCUUCCUUCUCCUUCUCCAGUAGCGUGGCCUCCUCCUCCUCCUCCUCCUUCCUCUCCUUCGAUCUCCUUCCUCCGGCCACCAAAUUCAGCAAAUGAAUACUCUAAAAAUAUCUACUCAACGUGAGGAAGAAGAUUAUAGCUUAGAUUUGAACUGAAAUUGUGUCUAUUUUGAAGGGGAAGAGCUUGAAGUUUUGGACACCUUUUUCCGACGAUUCACGCCGUUUCAGGCAAGCCUUGGACACAAGGUGAGUACCAAAUGACUCCUCUCUUCUUCCUCUUUCAUUUGAUGGCCUCCUCGUCGACUGUAAUAGCCGGAAUCGGAAAACCCAAAAUGGGUAUCACCGAACCUUUCCGCCCAAUUUCCGGCCAACUGGUUCACACCCACCUUGAUUUGAACACAUAUUAGUGAUCCUCUCAUCGAAACGAAUAAAAUGAUGUAUUGUUUGUCAAUUUUGGUGAAGGUUAAAUUUUCCGGCCACCGUGCACGGUGGCGGCGGCGGCGGUCCGGCGACCGGCCGGCGAGACUCCGGCGAGACUUCAANNNNN
rnacentral:lncRNA from 1 species